UGGGAAUAUUGGACAAUGGAGGAAACUCUGAUCCAGUGACGCCGCGUGAAGGAAGAAGAUCUUCGGAUUGUAAACUUAUUUUAUCAGGGAAGAAGAAAGUGACAGUACCUGAAGAAAAAGGACCGGCAAACUACGUGCCAGCAGCCGCGGUAAUACGUAGGGUCCAAGCGUUAUCCGGAUUUACUGGGUGUAAAGGGCGAGUAGACGGCGCUGUAAGUCAGCUGUGAAAACUUAGGGCUCAACCUUAAGCCUGCAGCUGAAACUGUAGUGCUAGAGUGCAGGAGAGGUAAGCGGAAUUCCUAGUGUAGCGGUGAAAUGCGUAGAUAUUAGGAGGAACACCAGUGGCGAAGGCGGCUCACUGGACUGUAACUGACGUUGAGGCGCGAAAGUGUGGGGAGCAAAC
rnacentral:rRNA from 1 species